AAGAAGUUCAGACUUGUCCCUUUGU
rnacentral:piRNA from 1 species